rnacentral:rRNA from 1 species
GGGACACGUGGUAUCCUGUCUGAAUAUGGGGGGACCAUCCUCCAAGGCUAAAUACUCCUGACUGACCGAUAGUGAACCAGUACCGUGAGGGAAAGGCGAAAAGAACCCCGGCGAGGGGAGUGAAAAAGAACCUGAAACCGUGUACGUACAAGCAGUGGGAGCACGCUUAGGCGUGUGACUGCGUACCUUUUGUAUAAUGGGUCAGCGACUUAUAUUCUGUAGCAAGGUUAACCGAAUAGGGGAGCCGAAGGGAAACCGAGUCUUAACUGGGCGUUAAGUUGCAGGGUAUAGACCCGAAACCCGGUGAUCUAGCCAUGGGCAGGUUGAAGGUUGGGUAACACUAACUGGAGGACCGAACCGACUAAUGUUGAAAAAUUAGCGGAUGACUUGUGGCUGGGGGUGAAAGGCCAAUCAAACCGGGAGAUAGCUGGUUCUCCCCGAAAGCUAUUUAGGUAGCGCCUCGUGAAUUCAUCUCCGGGGGUAGAGCACUGUUUCGGCAAGGGGGUCAUCCCGACUUACCAACCCGAUGCAAACUGCGAAUACCGGAGAAUGUUAUCACGGGAGACACACGGCGGGUGCUAACGUCCGUCGUGAAGAGGGAAACAACCCAGACCGCCAGCUAAGGUCCCAAAGUCAUGGUUAAGUGGGAAACGAUGUGGGAAGGCCCAGACAGCCAGGAUGUUGGCUUAGAAGCAGCCAUCAUUUAAAGAAAGCGUAAUAGCUCACUGGUCGAGUCGGCCUGCGCGGAAGAUGUAACGGGGCUAAACCAUGCACCGAAGCUGCGGCAGCGACACUAUGUGUUGUUGGGUAGGGGAGCGUUCUGUAAGCCUGUGAAGGUGUACUGUGAGGUAUGCUGGAGGUAUCAGAAGUGCGAAUGCUGACAUAA